rnacentral:rRNA from 1 species
GAUGAACGCUGGCGGUAUGCAUAACACACGCAAGUCGAACGAAGUCCUUCGGGACUUAGUGGCGGACGGGUGAGUAACGCGUGAGAAUCUGCCAAUAGGUUUGGGACAACAGCCGGAAACGGCUGCUAAUACCAGAUAUGCCUGUAAGUGAAAGGAGUUAAACUCCGCCUUUUGAUGAGCUCGCGUCUGAUUAGCUAGUUGGUAGAGUAGGAGCCUACCAAGGCGAUGAUCAGUAGCUGGUUUGAGAGAAUGACCAGCCACACUGGGACUGAGACACGCGCCAGACUCCUCCGGGAGGCAGCAGUGAGGAAUUUUCCGCAAUGGGCGAAAGCCUGACGGAGCAAUACCGCGUGAGGGAGGAAAGCCCUCGGGUUGUAAACCUCUUUUCUCAGAGAAGAAUCAAUGACGGUAUCUGAGGAAUCAGCAUCGGCUAACUCCGUGCCAGCAGCCGCCGUAAGAC